rnacentral:lncRNA from 8 species
GUCUGAAAACCAGCCCAUCAGUCGAGUUCCUCCAGUCAGUCAGCUGAGAGAUACUGAAACACUACCGUAGUGCUCAAAGCAGUACAGACACACACAACUAGAUGGAUCUUAUGGUGGAUCUUAAGUCUCUGGGUGAUCCCAUCAAGCAGUUCAGCGAUUAUGUGUCAGGGACGGGGACCAAACCGGACAACAAAAUAGGCACCAAGAAGAGCACAGGGGCCAGACGGAAGAGCAUAGUCGUGAGCACAGGGGCCAGACGGAAGAGCGUAGUUGUAGUCCGGAGGCACAGCAUUGUCAGGAGGAAGAGUGUCCCUUGCGCCAAAACUUGCGCUAAAACUUGCGCCAAGCAAAGAGCCGUACCAGACUCCUGGCUCAGUGCAUACCAGGCUGACAUUCAGAGAGAAAGGAAACUGAGAGAGAAGAAGGUUGCAGAAAGGUCCAUCAGAAGGAGGAGUCAGCAUUUCAGGAGCCAGCACUGCCUCCCAAAGAGUAAGACAAAUGCCAAGAGGAACCAGAAAUCUGCGAAGGAUGAUUCGCUGUUUGGUGCCUUCCAGGGGCUCAGUCUGAAUGUGACGGGAGGCACCCAGAGCUCUAUGGCCUCAGGCGGGGACCAGUGUAAAGUAAUGUGA